CAGCGAUUCGCCUCCGGGUUAGGCUGAGCCUCUUGCUUGCUGUGACUGGUGGAGCUGCCGCGCUGUCCGCGUUAUCUCCUCCCGGUGAGAACGAACCGCAGUGUCCACCGGCGAGGAGCCAGCCCUGUCCCGGUCAGAGAAAGACGACGAGGAUACCUGGGAGCGGGCGGCGGCCGGGCUGGGCCGCGCCGGUGCGGGCUGGCGACUCUGCUCCUCCGCUUGCUGCUGUCUCUGGGAACUGGGUGCCAGCGCUGAGGGGCUUCCAGCGGACAGGGACCCCCUUCCCCGGCUCCCCUGCCCACCCUGCCGGGGAGGGCGGAAGAUGCCGGUGAAGAAGAAGAGAAAAUCCCCUGGGGUGGCAGCAGCAGUAGCGGAAGACGGAGGCCUCAAAAAGUGUAAAAUCUCCAGGUCCUGAUGAAGUUGUAGGGCCAGAAGGAAUGGAAAAAUUUUGUGAAGACAUUGGUGUUGAACCUGAAAAUAUUAUUAUGUUAGUUUUAGCGUGGAAAUUGGAGGCUGAAAGCAUGGGAUUUUUUACCAAGGAAGAAUGGUUAAAGGGAAUGACUUCAUUACAGUGUGACUGCACAGAAAAGUUACAAAACAAAUUUGACUUUUUGCGCUCACAGUUGAAUGAUAUUUCGUCAUUUAAGAAUA
rnacentral:lncRNA from 1 species